GACGGAGGGUGCGAGCGUUGUUCGGAAUCACUGGGCGUAAAGGGCGCGUAGGCGGCUGCGCGUGUCGGGUGUGAAAGCCCGGGGCUCAACCCCGGAACGGCACCCGGGACUGCGUGGCUGGAGACCGGGAGAGGAGGGUGGAAUACCCAGUGUAGAGGUGAAAUUCGUAGAUAUUGGGUGGAACACCGGUGGCGAAAGCGGCUCUCUGGUCCGGUUCUGACGCUGAGGCGCGAAAGCGUGGGGAGCAAACAGG
rnacentral:rRNA from 1 species